rnacentral:rRNA from 1 species
CGGAACACGUACGCAACCUUCCUUUAACUGGAGAAUAGCCCCUCGAAAGAGGGAUUAAUACUCCGUAACAUCCUGAUAUGGCAUCAUAACGGGAUUAUAGCCCUCGGGCGGUUGAAGAUGGGCGUGCGCCUGAUUAGAUAGUUGGCGGGGUAACGGCCCACCAAGUCUGCGAUCAGUAACUGGUGUGAAAGCACGACCAGUCACACGGGCACUGAGACACGGGCCCG